rnacentral:rRNA from 1 species
CCUACGGGGGGCUGCAGUGGGGAAUAUUGGACAAUGGGGGCAACCCUGAUCCAGCCAUGCCGCGUGUGUGAAGAAGGCCCUCGGGUUGUAAAGCACUUUCAGUGAGGAAGAACGCCUGGUGGUUAAUACCCAUCAGGAAAGACAUCACUCACAGAAGAAGCACCGGCUAACUCCAUGCCAGCAGCCGCGGUAAUACGGAGGGUGCGAGCGUUAAUCGGAAUUACUGGGCGUAAAGCGCGCGUAGGUGGCUUGAUAAGCCGGUUGUGAAAGCCCCGGGCUCAACCUGGGAACGGCAUCCGGAACUGUCAAGCUAGAGUGCAGGAGAGGAAGGUAGAAUUCCCGGUGUAGCGGUGAAAUGCGUAGAGAUCGGGAGGAAUACCAGUGGCGAAGGCGGCCUUCUGGACUGACACUGACACUGAGGUGCGAAAGCGUGGGUAGCAAACAGGAUUAGAUACCCUGGUAGUC